rnacentral:rRNA from 1 species
GUGGGGAAUAUUGGACAAUGGGCGAAAGCCUGAUCCAGCAAUACCGCGUGAAUGAUGAAGGCCUUAGGGUUGUAAAGUUCUUUUAGUUGGAAAGAUAAUGACGGUACCAACAGAAAAAGCCCCGGCUAACUCCGUGCCAGCAGCCGCGGUAAGACGGAGGGGGCUAGCGUUGUUCGGAAUUACUGGGCGUAAAGGGCGCGUAGGCGGAUUAGUAAGUUGGGAGUGAAAGCCCGGGGCUUAACCUCGGAACUGCUUUCAAAACUGCUAGUCUUGAGUGAAGUAGGGGAUGAUGGAAUUCCUAGUGUAGAGGUGAAAUUCUUAGAUAUUAGGAGGAACACCGGUGGCGAAGGCGGUCAUCUGGACUUCAACUGACGCUGAGGCGCGAAAGCGUGGGGAGCAAACAGGAUUAGAUACCCGAGUAGUCC